AAAAGAAAACGGAUAAUUGCCCCGAGCGAGGCGCAUAGCGCCGAGUCGAGGGGAGGAAAGUCCGGACACCAUUCCCGCUUCGGCGGGAGAAGCGUACGGGUUAACAACCCGCCGUGGUAACACGAGAGGUGCGAACAGAAACGCCCUAGAACUCGAAAGGGUUCGGGCGCCCCGAGCUUGUCGAGGGGCGAGUUCCAUGGCAACAUGGAAAUGAAACGGCUAAAUCCUUACUGGGUGCAAGUCCGUAUGGACGCUAGAGCUGUUGAGCAAUUGACGGCCCAGAUAGAUAAUUAUCGUCCCCGCUUAGCGGGGGUACAGAAUCCGGCUUAUAGUUUUCUUACCAAG
rnacentral:RNase_P_RNA from 1 species